UACAGAGGGUGCGAGCGUUGUCCGGAAUCACUGGGCGUAAAGGGCGCGUAGGUGGCGACCCAAGUCGAUGGUGAAAGCUCGCCGCUUAACGGCGAGUCGGCCACCGAUACUGGGUUGCUUGAGCACUGUAGAGGCUAAUGGAAUUCCGGGUGUAGCGGUGGAAUGCGCAGAUAUCAGGAGGAACACCGGUGGCGAAGGCGGGACUCUGGGCCGAUACUGACGCUGAGGAGCGAAAGCGUGGGGAGCGAACAGG
rnacentral:rRNA from 1 species